CUAAGAUAGAUACAGGGUAUCUCAGGUAGAUACAGGUUUUGAGACCAUAAGAGGUCUCUGGUUUAUUAAGUCUAUAGGUGUUCUGAGCAGCACGGUUUGUAGAUCUAUAAGUAUAACCCAAACUUCUCUUUCUCCCGGUCACCUUUGUUUGUCUUAAGUGUUUUUUUUGUGGGUGAUUGUUUGUCUAUAUUGGGGACACACUUUGGUAAGUUAGUAGUGUCCCCACUCUGAGUCAGCAGUAUGGGAAAUGUGAGUUCAUGUCCUG